rnacentral:snRNA from 1 species
GUGCCCGCUUGGGCAGCAUAUAUACUAAAAUUAGAACGAUACGGAGACAAUUAGCAUGCCCCUCCAAGGAUGACAUGCAAAUGCAUGAAGGGCUCCCUACUUUG